UCGGAGGUGGAAAACCGAAACUACGGCAGAAAUACACAGAGCUCAAAAGCGUCACAUCGUCACAAAUGAAAUUAAUUAAUAUUAAGAACUUAAAACAUCAUAUUGCCACGGACGGUCUUACCGCAGCUGCCACAUAAGGUGGAGACUCACCUGGUCUUUGAGUUGAAAACCUUGAUUAUGUCAUCAUAAUCUGAACUAUCAAUAAGAAUUUUAAUAUCUAAGUGGGAGUCUAAAUGGCCAAAUGACCAGUUAAAUAACAGCAGUAAGUGGCACUUUCCUCCCGUUGUCCCGGUUGUCUGCUUGGAAGCCUGUGGCGGACCGUGAAGUGCAGCCUGCAUUCUUAAGUUACGCAGAUGUGCCCGCUUUUCCAACAUUCCCAGAGCCACUGAACGUCUCACGACCGUCUUUCUGCUACAGAUUGAGUCUCCUCAGGCAUGGCCUGAUUUUGCUAACUGAGGAGCACAUGGCCGAAGAACAUGUCAAAAAGGAGAACCAGACUUAGUCCUGAGGCUGAGGCUAUUCAGUUUAUUUCAUCUGGAGGUGACAAACCUUGUUUUAAGGUCAAGUGGAUCAGUGACUUUAAAGCAUAGAUGCGUCCCGCGAAGAUGGCUCCCUGGGAAGGCUGGUGAAUGAUGGCCACAAGUCACCAAACUGUAAAAUGCGAAAGUUGACAGUCCAGGACACUAAGUGGCAUGAUCCAGACUGAAUCUUCAUGAGACCCAGAAGUGAGCGAGAGAUCCAGUUCAUCCUUCAACAGGGUACUACACAUUUACUCUGGAUUUCUUCUAUUUUAAUACAUGUCUCACUUAAGUCCUGUGCAUAAAUAAAAUGCAUUUUUACCUUCUUGAAACAGAUUCACGUGAAAUGUUCAGCAAUCAAUAUUGCCAUUACUAGUUUCUGCAUACCAUCGUGUAAGGAAAUUAUCCCUAGCAUUUGAUAGAACUAACUACCCCUCAAAACAUAAAUUGUAUCUUAAUUUUCACUAAAUUCUAUGUUUUUAUCUACUUUAAACACAUGUAUUGCCCAUGUAAGCUUCUGCUUAUGAGUUUACAUGGUUUAACUUAUAGGGAAGUAGAUCCCUGUCCAUUACUGUGGAGGUUUUAGCUUUCUUUUACUACAACGGUAUAACUUAAAAGACAGGAACACUUACUUUUUGUGUGUUCAGUCGUCAUGUCCUCAUUUUGUUUUAGGUGUGAAAGGUUGAACUGUGUUUCAGAUUAAGUCCUGAUAUUAUGUUUCAACUGAAAUGGGUA